ensembl:lncRNA
GGAGCACAUGGCCGAGAAAACAAAUUAACAAGGCCAUGUGCUGACACAAGACAAACAAGAAACACAAAACUCAGUAUAUCAUGGUGGCAGUUGAUGUGAUGACUCUCAGUAGAAGGCCUUCCAUAAAGCACAAGACCUCAGACUCUCUGAAGACGAUGCAACGAGAAUUGAAUCCACAUCCUGGCACUGUUCUUAAGGAGCCGAGUCCUUUGAUAAGAUCCCUUUUCCUCGACUGCAUCUGCAGCUUCUUUUUUUCUACAAAUAAACAUAUUAAACGGAAGAAAAAUGGAAACUUGGAAAAAUGGAGACUUAUAUCAGAAAA